GUUUGCCUCUCCUAUUCUCCAGUUUAAUUGGGGGUUCUGGCGAAGUUUCCAGAGAGUACCAUUCAGAUCUGACUCUUGACUUUUGACAGACAGCAGGAUGACAUCAGACUUUCAAGUCCUAAUGGUGCAUGACAGCUCUUGGUCACUGUGGCAUGUGCUGAUCAGUUCUAAUUGGAACUUGUUCUUCCGAGAUUUCAUGGUUAGGGGGAAUUAUCCUUUUCUCUCGGAGUUCUGGAAUCUGGUCUGUAUAAGGGUCAUAAAAGUCUUUCCUGCUUUGGGGUAACAUAUGUUCUUUCUUAUCAGCAUCUUGGGACCUGCAUUUCUCCUGCAGAUAACAAGUGGUGAAGAAAUGUAACUUAUCCUGGGAUUUAAGCCAGGCAGAGUGGCAGCCUUCCUAUUCUCUGAGACAUAAAAAAAAGGAAAGUAAGGAAUUAAUGACCCUGAAUGACAGCCACCAAGGCAGCUGCAAAAGAAGCAGGGAACAUGAAUGGCUUCUCAUCAGCAAUGGCUGGUUACAGGAGAGAGAUUGUCACAACAAGAACAUAAAAUAUCCUGGGGUUAAAUUUGAUGGAAAAUAUGAAAGAUAUCUGAGAAGUUAUUUUGUUCCACUGAAGGACAUAUUAAAACCAUGAACAUGUCAAAAUGAAAAGCUAGAAUACUGAAUGUUGUCCAAAAUUUUCCCUGAAUUAAACGUAAAUAUUGAAAUGUACUCCUCGUUUAGAACACAA